UUAAGCGACUAAGCGUACACGGUGGAUGCCCUGGCAGUCAGAGGCGAUGAAGGACGUGCUAAUCUGCGAAAAGCGUCGGUAAGGUGAUAUGAACCGUUAUAACCGGCGAUGUCCGAAUGGGGAAACCCAGUGCAAUUCGUUGCACUAUCGUUAACUGAAUACAUAGGUUAACGAGGCGAACCGGGGGAACUGAAACAUCUAAGUACCCCGAGGAAAAGAAAUCAACCGAGAUUCCCCCAGUAGCGGCGAGCGAACGGGGAGCAGCCCAGAGUCUGAAUCAGCUUGUGUGUUAGUGGAACGGUCUGGAAAGUCCGACGGUACAGGGUGAUAGUCCCGUACACCAAAAUGCACAGGCUGUGAACUCGAAGAGUAGGGCGGGACACGUGGUAUCCUGUCUGAAUAUGGGGGGACCAUCCUCCAAGGCUAAAUACUCCUGACUGACCGAUAGUGAACCAGUACCGUGAGGGAAAGGCGAAAAGAACCCCGGCGAGGGGAGUGAAAAAGAACCUGAAACCGUGUACGUACAAGCAGUGGGAGCACCUUCGGGUGUGACUGCGUACCUUUUGUAUAAUGGGUCAGCGACUUAUAUUCUGUAGCAAGGUUAACCGUAUAGGGGAGCCGCAGGGAAACCGAGUCUUAACUGGGCGUUAAGUUGCAGGGUAUAGACCCGAAACCCGGUGAUCUAGCCAUGGGCAGGUUGAAGGUUGGGUAACACUAACUGGAGGACCGAACCGACUAAUGUUGAAAAAUUAGCGGAUGACUUGUGGCUGGGGGUGAAAGGCCAAUCAAACCGGGAGAUAGCUGGUUCUCCCCGAAAGCUAUUUAGGUAGCGCCUCGUGAAUUCAUCUUCGGGGGUAGAGCACUGUUUCGGCUAGGGGGUCAUCCCGACUUACCAACCCGAUGCAAACUACGAAUACCGAAGAAUGUUAUCACGGGAGACACACGGCGGGUGCUAACGUCCGUCGUGAAGAGGGAAACAACCCAGACCGCCAGCUAAGGUCCCAAAGUCAUGGUUAAGUGGGAAACGAUGUGGGAAGGCACAGACAGCCAGGAUGUUGGCUUAGAAGCAGCCAUCAUUUAAAGAAAGCGUAAUAGCUCACUGGUCGAGUCGGCCUGCGCGGAAGAUGUAACGGGGCUAAACCAUGCACCGAAGCUGCGGCAGCGACACUAUGUGUUGUUGGGUAGGGGAGCGUUCUGUAAGCCUGCGAAGGUGACCUGUGAGGGUUGCUGGAGGUAUCAGAAGUGCGAAUGCUGACAUAAGUAACGAUAAAGCGGGUGAAAAGCCCGCUCGCCGGAAGACCAAGGGUUCCUGUCCAACGUUAAUCGGGGCAGGGUGAGUCGACCCCUAAGGCGAGGCCGAAAGGCGUAGUCGAUGGGAAACAGGUUAAUAUUCCUGUACUUGGUGUUACUGCGAAGGGGGGACGGAGAAGGCUAUGUUAGCCGGGCGACGGUUGUCCCGGUUUAAGCAUGUAGGCUGGUUAUCCAGGCAAAUCCGGAUAAUCAAGGCUGAGGUGUGAUGACGAGGCACUACGGUGCUGAAGUAACAAAUGCCCUGCUUCCAGGAAAAGCCUCUAAGCAUCAGGUAACAUCAAAUCGUACCCCAAACCGACACAGGUGGUCAGGUAGAGAAUACCAAGGCGCUUGAGAGAACUCGGGUGAAGGAACUAGGCAAAAUGGUGCCGUAACUUCGGGAGAAGGCACGCUGGUGUGUAGGUGAAGCCCCUGCGGGUGGAGCCGAGACCAGUCGAAGAUACCAGCUGGCUGCAACUGUUUAUUAAAAACACAGCACUGUGCAAACACGAAAGUGGACGUAUACGGUGUGACGCCUGCCCGGUGCCGGAAGGUUAAUUGAUGGGGUUAUCCGUAAGGAGAAGCUCUUGAUCGAAGCCCCGGUAAACGGCGGCCGUAACUAUAACGGUCCUAAGGUAGCGAAAUUCCUUGUCGGGUAAGUUCCGACCUGCACGAAUGGCGUAAUGAUGGCCAGGCUGUCUCCACCCGAGACUCAGUGAAAUUGAACUCGCUGUGAAGAUGCAGUGUACCCGCGGCAAGACGGAAAGACCCCGUGAACCUUUACUAUAGCUUGACACUGAACAUUGAGCCUUGAUGUGUAGGAUAGGUGGGAGGCUUUGAAGCGUGGACGCCAGUCUGCGUGGAGCCAACCUUGAAAUACCACCCUUUAAUGUUUGAUGUUCUAACGUUGGCCCCUGACCGGGGUUGCGGACAGUGUCUGGUGGGUAGUUUGACUGGGGCGGUCUCCUCCCAAAGCGUAACGGAGGAGCACGAAGGUUAGCUAAUCCUGGUCGGACAUCAGGAGGUUAGUGCAAUGGCAUAAGCUAGCUUGACUGCGAGCGUGACGGCGCGAGCAGGUGCGAAAGCAGGUCAUAGUGAUCCGGUGGUUCUGAAUGGAAGGGCCAUCGCUCAACGGAUAAAAGGUACUCCGGGGAUAACAGGCUGAUACCGCCCAAGAGUUCAUAUCGACGGCGGUGUUUGGCACCUCGAUGUCGGCUCAUCACAUCCUGGGGCUGAAGUAGGUCCCAAGGGUAUGGCUGUUCGCCAUUUAAAGUGGUACGCGAGCUGGGUUUAGAACGUCGUGAGACAGUUCGGUCCCUAUCUGCCGUGGGCGCUGGAGAAUUGAGGGGGGCUGCUCCUAGUACGAGAGGACCGGAGUGGACGCAUCACUGGUGUUCGGGUUGUCAUGCCAAUGGCACUGCCCGGUAGCUAAAUGCGGAAGAGAUAAGUGCUGAAAGCAUCUAAGCACGAAACUUGCCCCGAGAUGAGUUCUCCCUGAGACUAUAAGUCUCCUGAAGGAACGUUAAAGACGAUGACGUUGAUAGGCCGGGUGUGUAAGCGCAGCGAUGCGUUGAGCUAACCGGUACUAAUGAACCGUGAGGCUUAACCUU
rnacentral:rRNA from 1 species